rnacentral:misc_RNA from 1 species
GCAAACUUGGUCAUUUAGAGGAAGUAAAAGUCGUAACAAGGUUUCCGUAGGUGAACCUGCGGAAGGAUCAUCACUGAUUCUUGGGGGAGUGUUGUUGUUCCUGCACACACUAGUGUGUGGUGAGCGCGCCGCGCCCCCAACCAAUCUUUUGUGCACGGUUUCACGGUCAACGAGGCGCCGCGCGUGUGUUGGCGAGUCAUCCCCAGUGGGUGGUGGCUUGCCAACCGCACGCGUCCGUGCGUUCUCUGCUUGCAAUCUCUUGUGCAAUCUCUUUGUCUAACGCGUUACCUAAAUCAUAACACAUACAACUUUCAACAAUGGAUCUCUUGGCUCUCGCAUCGAUGAAGAACGCAGC